GAUGAAGAACGUAGCGAAAUGCGAUAAGUAGUGUGAAUUGCAGAAUUCAGUGAAUCGUCGAAUCUUUGAACGCACAUUGCGCCCCUUGGUAUUCCAUGGGGCAUGCCUGUUCGAGCGUCAUUUGUACCUUCAAGCUCUGCUUGGUGUUGGGUGUUUGUCUCGCCUCUGCGUGUAGACUCGCCUCAAAACAAUUGGCAGCCGGCGUAUUGAUUUCGGAGCGCAGUACAUCUCGCGCUUUGCACUCAUAACGACGACGUCCAAAAGUACAUUUUUACACUCUUGACCUCGGAUCAGGUAGGGAUACCCGCUGAACUUAAGCAUAUCAAUAAGCGGAGGA
rnacentral:misc_RNA from 1 species